AAGUUUGAUUCAUGGUCUCAGAAUUCCACGCUGGUUAGNCAGCCUAACACAUGCAAGUCGAACGGUAACAGGAAGCAGCUUGCUGCUUUGCUGACGAGUGGCGGACGGGUGAGUAAUGUCUGGGAAACUGCCUGAUGGAGGGGGAUAACUACUGGAAACGGUAGCUAAUACCGCAUAACGUCGCAAGACCAAAGAGUGGGGACCUUCGGGCCUCUUGCCAUCGGAUUGUGCCCAGAUUGGGGAUUAAGCUAGGUAAGGUUGGGGGUUAACCGGGCUCACCUAAGGGCGAACCGAAUU
rnacentral:rRNA from 1 species